UUUUAGGUCGUUUAUAUGGUUUUUGGCCAAUUUUUGUGUUUGUAGUCGUUUUUAUGAUUUUUGGCCUAUUUUAGUGUUUGUAGUGGUUUUUAAUGUUUUUGGCCUAUUUUAGGGUCGUUUAUAUAGUUUUUUUGCCAAUUUUAGUGUUUGUAGUCGUGUUUAUGCUUUUUGGCCUAUUUUAGUUCGUUUAUAUGGUUUUUGGCCAAUUUUAGUUUUUGUAGUCGUUUUUAUUGUUUUUUGCCAAUUUUAGUGUUUGUAGUCAUUUUUAUGGUUUUU
rnacentral:lncRNA from 1 species